rnacentral:rRNA from 1 species
UACGUAGGGGGCAAGCGUUAUCCGGAAUUAUUGGGCGUAAAGAGUACGUAGGUGGCAACCUAAGCGCAGGGUUUAAGGCAAUGGCUCAACCAUUGUAUGCAUUGGAAACUGGUAGACUUGAGUGCAGGAGAGGAGAGUGGAAUUCCAUGUGUAGCGGUGAAAUGCGUAGAUAUAUGGAGGAAUACCGGUGGCGAAAGCGGCUCUCUGGCCUGUAACUGACACUGAGGCUCGAAAGCGUGGGGAGCAAACAGG